rnacentral:piRNA from 1 species
UAAAAAGAUGUGCUCAUGAUAGGUGUGGC